rnacentral:tRNA from 1 species
GGUUGUAGCUCAGUGGCAGAGCGCUUGCCUAGCACGUGUGAGGCACCAGGUUCAAUCCUUAGCAUCA